rnacentral:rRNA from 1 species
UACGUAGGUGGCAAGCGUUGUCCGGAAUUACUGGGUGUAAAGCGCGUGUAGGCGGCAGACCAAGUCGGCGGUGAAAGCGCCCGGCUCAACUGGGCGAGGUCCGUGGAAACUGGUCAGCUGGAGGACGGUAGAGGCGAGUGGAAUUCCCGGUGUAGUGGUGAAAUGCGUAGAGAUCGGGAGGAACACCUGUGGCGAAGGCGGCUCGCUGGGCCGGUCCUGACGCUGAGACGCGCAAGGCGUGGGAGGCGAACGGG